UACGUAGGGGGCAAGCGUUGUCCGGAUUUAUUGGGCGUAAAGAGCGUGUAGGCGGCCAUGUAGGUCCGUUGUGAAAACUCGAGGCUCAACCUCGAGACGCCGAUGGAAACCAUGUGGCUAGAGUCCGGAAGAGGAGAGUGGAAUUCCUGGUGUAGCGGUGGAAAUGCGCAGAUAUCAGGAAGAACACCCGUGGCUAAGGCGGCUCUCUAGUACGGUACUGACGCUGAGACGCGAAAGCGUGGGGAGCGAACAGG
rnacentral:rRNA from 1 species